rnacentral:rRNA from 1 species
ACCUACGGGGCGCAGCAGUAGGGAAUCUUCCACAAUGGGCGAAAGCCUGAUGGAGCAACGCCGCGUGGGUGAAGAAGGUCUUCGGAUCGUAAAACCCUGUUGUUAGAGAAGAAAGUGCGUGAGAGUAACUGUUCACGUUUCGACGGUAUCUAACCAGAAAGCCACGGCUAACUACGUGCCAGCAGCCGCGGUAAUACGUAGGUGGCAAGCGUUAUCCGGAUUUAUUGGGCGUAUAGGGAACGCAGGCGGUCUUCUAAGUCUGAUGUGAAAGCCUUCGGCUUAACCGGAGUAGUGCAUUGGAAACU